rnacentral:misc_RNA from 1 species
UCCGGUUUGUCACCGGCAGUCUCGCAUGAGUCCCCAACUAAAUGCUGGCAACAUGCGACGGGGGUUGCGCUCGUUGCGGGACUUAACCCAACAUCUCACGACACGGGCUGACGACAGCCAUGCACCACCUGUGAUCCUGCCCCGAAGGGAAGCCAUGUUUCCAUGGCGGUCAGGAACAUGUCAAGCCCAGGUAAGGUUCUUCGCGUUGCGUCGAAUUAAACCACAUGCUCCGCUGCUUGUGCGGGCCCCCGUCAAUUCCUUUGAGUUUUAGCCUUGCGGCCGUACUCCCCAGGCGGGGCACUUAAUGCGUUAGCUACGGCGCGGAAAACGUGGAAUGUCCCCAACAUCCAGUUCGCAUCGUUUAGGGCGUGGACUAC